rnacentral:rRNA from 1 species
AUACGGAGGGUGCGAGCGUUAUCCGGAUUUAUUAGGUUUAAAGGGUGUGUAGGCGGGAGCCUAAGUCAGUGGUGAAAUCUCACAGCUUAACUGUGAAACUGCCAUUGAAACUGGGUUUCUUGAGUAUAGUUGAGGUAGGCGGAAUGUGUAAUGUAGCGGUGAAAUGCAUAGAUAUUACACAGAACACCGAUUGCGAAGGCAGCUUACUAAGCUAUUACUGACGCUGAUGCACGAAAGCGUGGGUAGCGAACAGGAUUAGAUACCCCUGUAGUCC